GACUCGCCGUCCUGCCUCGGCCCCUGCGGCUACCACGUGAAUGCACAUUUUCUUUUUGCGAGCAGGUGCGGAUUCUGGAGGAAUCCAAAAGAGAACCAGAGUAAUUUAUCAAGAUUGAAGAGCUGCGACCAUUUUGCCGGACCGAGAGCACAACCGCCGGGCUGUGGCCGAGUCCACGUGGUGGAGACACUCGUGUGUGUGUGUCUGUGUGUGUGUGUGCACACACGUGCGUGUCCUGGCUCUGUCACUCACCCUCCUCACAACACUGCCUUUCCACCAACUAAGCGGAGCGUGGGCUACCCAGGUAGAAAAGUUGGAAAAGGGCGCCACCUCGCAGGCCUGCUGAGAGCGCAUGCGGGUCCUGGCCUGGCGAUCUUGGCUGGCUGAGCUCCUUGCUCACCCUCUGGGCUCCCAUAGGACCGGGGGAUGGACAAGGCUUAGCUGGGGAGGAGGAGAGUGCGAGGUGGGCCUGAAGAUGUGUGGAUGACACCAGGGACUAAAAGCGCUCUCUUUCUCAUCUGGGAGAACUCGAAAUAAAAUUUCAUGCAAAAGUGGCAGAAGAUUCAUGGGACAAUGGUUUCCUUGAUAUUCUCCUAAGGAGUUUUAUCUUUCUUUCUCGCUCUCUCUCUCGCUCUCUCUCUCUCUCUCCCUCCCUCCCUUCCUCUCAAUGUAAAUAACCAUGAAGUCUCCUGUAACAGAG
rnacentral:lncRNA from 1 species